GCCAGCAUGGCAUAAUGGUUUGAGUCCUGGACUAUGAUUCUGGAGACCAGGGUUUGAUUCCCUGUUUGGCC